GAUGAACGCUGGCGGCGUGCCUAAUACAUGCAAGUCGAACGGCAGCACGGGUGCUUGCACCUGGUGGCGAGUGGCGAACGGGUGAGUAAUACAUCGGAACGUACCUUAUCGUGGGGGAUAACGCAGCGAAAGCUGUGCUAAUACCGCAUACGCCCUGAGGGGGAAAGCGGGGGAUCGCAAGACCUCGCGCGAUUAGAGCGGCCGAUGCCUGAUUAGCUUGUUGGUGGGGUAAAAGCCCACCAAGGCGACGAUCAGUAGCUGGUCUGAGAGGACGAUCAGCCACGCUGGGACUGAGACACGGCCCAGACUCCUACGGGAGGCAGCAGUGGGGAAUUUUGGACAAUGGGGGCAACCCUGAUCCAGCAAUGCCGCGUGAGUGAAGAAGGCCUUCGGGUUGUAAAGCUCUUUUGUCAGGGAAGAAACACCGGCUCUAACACAGUCCGGGAAUGACGGUACCUGAAGAAUAAGCACCGGCUAACUACGUGCCAGCCGCCGCCGUAA
rnacentral:rRNA from 1 species